rnacentral:misc_RNA from 1 species
AUUGUAGAAGGACCACAGAGGUACAGAGGACACAGAGUAAUCAUUGAAGUCAUUGAAAAAAAUCUCGGUGUGCUCUGUGCCUCUGUGGUUCCCUAGCUUGACCACAUUGAUUUGCGAUCUAGUUCCCAGGCUCUGCCUGGGAACUCAAUGAAUUGCAGGCUCUGCCUGCUCAGCGUUGGCAAAGAGGCGGAGCCUCAGGAGCGGUGCGUUACCAGGCGGAGCCUGGUAACGAGCAGCUGACAUCACAACCGCUUUA